GGACAACGAGGUUUUGUUACAGGGUAGGUGGGGGAGAACCUGGGAGUGAGGGUGGCAGAGGGGGACACAGGGGACCCUCAGGGCCCUUCUCAUCGUGUUCCCCUCUCUCUCCAUGUUGUGUUUCUCUUUCAGAGGUAAUUUAGCCAGCACUUUUUUCUGGAACACUUUUCAAGUUCUGUAUUUAACUGGGAUUGGAACCGUUUGUUUGUUUUCUUAAAAAAAAAAAAAAAAAAAAAAAAAAAAAAAAAAAAAAAAAAAAAAAAAAAAAAAAAAAGAAAGAAAAAAAGGAGAAAAAAAGGAGAAAAAAAAGAUAAAAAAGAUAAAAAAUAAGUGAAACAAAAGGAGAAAAUUAAUAAUAAUGGAUGAAGAGAGAAACCCCCCGUUUUUCCCCCUCCGCACUCAAACUCGCUCUGCCUGCCAACCUCCGGCUCUGCUUUCCGGACUGCCGCCCCCCCCGCCCCGCAGCAGGACAAUCGGACGGACGGACGGACGGACGGACAGAGCGCAGGGGUGCGGGCAGGAGGGGACCUGGGGGUCAGCGCCGGGUGCCCCCUGCCCACAGCCCGGCCGGGGACCCCUGGGCCGCCCGGGGAGGCAGUCUGGGGAUUCUUUGCUUUUCUCGUCCCUCCCCGUCCGCUCGCUCGCCGCGGGGGCUGCUCUCGCCGGACGGACAGCGCUGACCCCCAGCAGGCUCCGGCGGCGUCGCCAGCGGGGCUCGGAGACGCCACCGCCACCAGCCACAGCACCCCCAGCCCUGCGCCCCCCGCCCGUCCCGGCUGCCGGAGCGGAGAGGAGAGGAGAGGAGAGGAGAGGAGAGGAGAGGAGAGGAGAUGAGAGGAGAGGAGAGGAGAGGAGAAGAGAAGAACAGAGGAGAGGAGGGGGCUGCCUCCGGAGGGGACCCCGCUCCGCCGCCCCCGCUUCGCCCCCGGCCCCCGCCUCGGCCGUGGCGCCGGCGCCGCGAUCUGUCUCUCCUCCCAGCCAGAAGCAGAGGGACUCUUUAAGUUUUAUUUUUUAUUUGAUUAAUUUUCAUUUUCUGCACAAAACCAGCAAUUGUAAAUACUUUUGAAGAAAAGAAGUUAAAAAAAAAAAAUGUUUAAGGAUAAAAAAAAAAAUUUAAAAAGCUGAAAAAUCACAAAAAAAAAAAAUAGAGAAUCAUGCACCGGAGGGAGAAUCCAAAAAUGACGGAGAACAGGCCUAAAGCAUCCAAGAGGUGAAUAUGCAGCAGAAAAGAGCAAAACCCCCCCCAGUAUGCACUGAGAAAAAAAUUUAUUUACAGAUCGAGCAACAAAAAAAAAAAAAGAAAAAAAAAGAAAAAAGUAACAAUAACCUAUUUAUUGUAUAUAAUGUUUUAUUAUAAAUCGUGUCUUGUAUAUUGCAUUCUGUACAUCUGCUGUGGUUUUGUGGUGUGCAACUUCCGCAUGGGUUCCUUGGGUUUCCGUUGCCUUUUUUUUAAUGAUUCAAUGAUGAUUUGAGUUUUAUUUUUAUUAUUAUUCUGAAGAACGAAGGCGGGUUUUUGAUUUUUUGUUGGGUUUUUUGGUUGGUUUUUUUGGCAGUACACACCCAAAGAUCCAAAUUUGUAUAAAAAAAAAAGAGUUUAAAAAAAAAAAAAAAAGAAGAAGACAAAAACUUAAAAAAAAAGUUUAAAAAAAGAAGAAAUCAAUCGAU
ensembl:lncRNA